GGGCCGAUAGAUCAACGGUAGAUCGCCUGCCUUGCAAGCAGGAGGCUGUGGGUUCAAAAGCACUUUCUUUAAAAAAAGAAAGCGCCCAAAGAAAAGGGCUGAACAUCCCACUCGGUCCA
rnacentral:tRNA from 1 species